rnacentral:lncRNA from 1 species
CAGCCGUUCUUCCUCGUCAGCAGGUUCCUAGCCCGUGUGUCUGGACUCCAGCCAACCCACCUGGGGCACUGGUUUCUGCUGAUCUUGCCCCUGUGACAUUGGCUCCACGUUUGCAGCCACAGCACCAGUGUCCCCAUGGAGGACCGGCUGUCCCCUGCCCACAUGUGACAGGACUCUGAAUCCAGGUGCCCUUCCUUCCUGCCACUGUCCAAGAAGUGAGGGCUCCAGAGGACAACACAAGUCCCUCCCGGUGCUGAUUCCCUGGAGAAGGUGCUCAGUGGUGUCCACUGCCUGGUCUCAGCCUGGUCUGUCCCUGUCUUCCCCAGGUGGGUGAGUGCCUCUCUUUAUCUCCUUCCUAAAUCUCCAUGUAGCUUCGUGAGCCUGCCCCAUGGGACCCCGAUAUCCUAACUGAUGUAUGUAGGGCUCUGACCCCAGAGCUGGGGGACAACUUAGAGACCAUCUGAUCUGACCCUUUUAUCCUAUAGAUGAACAAAUUGAGGCCCAGGAGUACAUUGAAGCCUGGAGAACAGACAAUGGCAAGUGUUCCUGGGUCAGCUGUUUUCUAAGCAUUGUGGCCACCUGACGACCCCACGUGAGGGCUGGUGUUCCCAUUGGGGAGGCUGGGGGCCCAGGCACUAUGGUUCAGAGUAACUCAUGCAGAUUCCAGGGCCAGGGCUGGCCUCUGGGCCCAGGCCAUCAGGUUUUGGAGCCUGAGCUAUCUCCCAAUGGCUCCUUUUCCUCCAGCGGCUUGCCAGGUGCUGUGGUUUAGAUGUGAGGUAUCCUGCAGAAGCUCUCGUGUGAGACAAUGCAAUAAUAUUAGAUUAGGAGAGUUGUGAUUCCCAUCAAUGGAUCAAGCCGCUGAUAUGGAUUAAUUAGGCAGGUAGUGUGUGGCAGGAAGAAGUAGGUCCCUGGGGGUGUGCCGUUGGUGUCAUAUUUUGCUCCUGGUAAGUGAGGAUCUCUCUCUGCUUCCUGGCUGCUGUGUCCUGAGAGGCUUCCCUCUGCCAUACCCUUCCUCCACCAUGUCCUGCCUCAUCUUGCGCCCAGAGCUGUGGAGUCAGCCAACCCUGGACUGGCUGAACCUCUGAAAUUGUGAGCCCAAAUCAACUUUUCCUCCUCGAUGUUCUGCGUAUCAGGCCUAUGGGUUCCAGUGAUGCAAAUGUUGACUAAAACACCAGGGGCAAAUCUAAGCGAGAACAUUGGAACCCAGUGCCCGUGAG